UACGGAGGGGGCUAGCGUUGUUCGGAAUUACUGGGCGUAAAGCGCGCGUAGGCGGACCUGCAAGUCGGGGGUGAAAGCCCGAGGCUCAACCUCGGAACUGCCUUCGAUACUGCCGGUCUCGAGUCCGGGAGAGGUGAGUGGAAUUCCUAGUGUAGAGGUGAAAUUCGUAGAUAUUAGGAAGAACACCAGUGGCGAAGGCGGCUCACUGGCCCGGUACUGACGCUGAGGCGCGAAAGCGUGGGGAGCAAACAGG
rnacentral:rRNA from 1 species